AAUCCUCUUCGUUCCUUGUGGAACAUAGGGCUGCUACAGUCGCUUUCCAUCUUACUCUAUUUUGGGCUAUCCUUUUUGCUUCGGUCCAGGUAUAUCCAAUUUCAUCCAGCUCUUUGUGCCUUGAUCUUCUCCAGCUGUGAAAUGGUCUUCCCGGUCUCCGAUGUCCUUCGGGAUUCCAUUCUAAUGCCUGUCUAGUGAUGGUACCUACAGGUUUCCUCAAAGUAUGCCCAAUCCAUUGCCAAGUUCUCCUCUUUAGCUGUUUAGUUGCUGGUUCCUGGUUGGUUCUUUCCCAUAGGCAUUUGUUACUAAUGGUUUCUGGCCACCAAAAUUUACAUAUUUGGCGCAGGCAUUUGUUGAUAAAAACCUGGAUUUGAUGUUGUACCCCUGCUGUAAGUCUCCAGGUCUCUGCACCAUAAAAAAGGACUGAUUUGACAUUUGUGUUAAAAAUACGAAUUUUGGUGUUUUCUGUGAAUGCUGUUGAUUUCCAAACUGGCUUCAGCAUAGCAAAGGCUUGUCGAGCUUUACUUAUUCUUGUCCUGAUGUCUGCACCUGUCCCACCAGUUCUAUCCAUGAUGCUUCCUAAAUAAGUAAACUGAUCUACUUUUUCAAUAUUUUCUCCUUCAAUUGACACUGUUCCGCCUUUUCUGGUCUUUACUU
rnacentral:lncRNA from 1 species